GUGUCAGCCGCCGCGGUAAUACGGAGGGUGCAAGCGUUAAUCGGAAUUACUGGGCGUAAAGCGCGCGUAGGCGGCUUGGUAAGUCGAUUGUGAAAUCCCCGGGCUCAACCUGGGAAUUGCAGUCGAGACUGUCAGGCUAGAGUGUGGGAGAGGGUGGUGGAAUUCCCGGUGUAGCGGUGAAAUGCGUAGAUAUCGGGAGGAACAUCAGUGGCGAAGGCGACCGCCUGGCCCAACACUGACGCUGAGGUGCGAAAGCGUGGGUAGCAAACAGGAUUAGAAACCCCGGUAGUCC
rnacentral:rRNA from 1 species